GGAAGUUGCGCCGAGUGUUUGUGUGUGUGUUAGUGCUCUUGGACAGAUCAGUGACAAUAUGGAGGUACCAUUCAUGGAGCUAAAAAUGGAUGCUAUGGUCACUCGAAAAACCAGUUGACCGGAAGUUCCAGCGAAUGAUUGUGUGUGUGUUGGUGAUGUUGGAAAGAUCAUCGGAUCACAGAAUAUGUAUGGAAAGAUAUAGAGGAUAUAUAUACGGAGAUGUCAUUGUUCAAGACUCCAGAGCAUCGAAAACUUCUUCAGUGUACUCUCGAGCCGGGCGCUCCUUGGGUCCUCUGCCACUUGGCCUACUCCUGGCAGCUAAUUUCUUUUUAAAGUGCGCGACUCUGGCUCCUUGGGCUACACGGUGCGAUGAUGCUGCUGCUGAUGCCGGGACAAGCUCAUUUGCACCUCAUUAAAUGCUGCCACUCGACCCGAUGACGACAACGAGUGGAACAAGAAGCGACAGCAGCUAAAUCAGUGCCCAAAGAAUACGACAUGUAAGCAUUUCCACAUCUACAUAACCCCGAGGAGGAGGGGCGGCCUAAGCCAGUGUUUACAUCUCGCCCCAUCCUUGUUUUCGGAGGAUCGUGUGUUGUGUCAAUUGAUGGAAUUCCAGGACGUGUUAAAAAAAUGCAUGAAUCACUAGAUUAGCCAACCUUAGAAAUGGAGUAAAUGCAAAUGCAAGUAAAAAAGCCUUUAUAUUUCAGCAAAAUAUAUUUUAGCUUUUAACAUAAUCAAAUAAAUACAAAUUAUAUAGUUUUAACUGAAA